GGCCACACCUGGCUGUUUGAGGAGGCACAGCCUCCCCUAACCGGCCCUCCAUACAAUUUCCAAAACCCGAUGUGGCCCUCAGGCCAAAAAGUUUGCCCGCCCCUGCCUCAGUUAAUCAAAAAGGCAGAGUCAUAAACACCAAUGCAGGCAUGUACCAGCAAGUUGCAUGAUGGCAGCGUGCUGAGAUCUGGUGGAUAAGGGUGAGAAUUUUCACAUGGAGUAAGCCUGACACCAUUGGUUUGCAGAUCUAGUACUGGCAACCAGAAAGUGCUUUGUCAUUACUGAGACUAGUCCAGGCAAGCAAGGGAAAUACAAGUGAUUCCUUGUGUUCCCAUAUCCUUUCAAUGCAGGGUGACAUGAGGAAAUGUGCCCUGUGCAGCUGUAAGAGACAUAUGAGUUUAUUUGCUGUCGCUUUUAUAUGGUAAGAGUCUGAUAUUUUAUUAAAAGCUUUGGAAAACUUCAUGACUAUCUUUUUUCAAGCAAACCAACUUAUUAACAUAACCAAAAGUAUUCUGAAAACCAUUGCAGGCAUCCUAGCUCCCUAUACACAAGUAAGUGAAAGUGCAAAUUUGCAGAAUUGUGCCAUUACCUAGAGCAGAGGUUCCCAAACUUAUUUGGCCUACCGCCCCCUUUUCAGAAAAAAAAUUACUCAGCGCCCCCCCUGGAAAUCUACCUUCUUUAAGCGAACAAACCAAAAGAUGCAGUGACAAAUUUGUGUUCUUUUAUGUAUCUAUAUUUCUACCUAUGUCCUACAAUACAGUAAAGAAAGAUGUGUUAUUAGAAUAUCGCCCACGACAUCAGGUAUACAGUGGUUUUUGCGUAAGAUGGCAAAAGACAACCAAACUAAAAUACUAAUGAAAUUAAUAAACUGGGGUUUGUUCUUUGCUCAGCAUUAGAUAUAUGUAUUUGAUAUUAAAUUGUCAAAUAUCAAACUAAAUUUAUCAAGAAAUAAUUAAAAAUAAUCAAUAUGCAAUUAAAAAUCAGUUAGUUUUAAUUUAGUUUGCCCUUAUUUAAAUAAUUGUUCCUUAUUAACACACGCCUUAUUUACCAAUUAACACAGAUGAUUCGAUACAUAUAAAUAAAUGUUAAUAGUUAAGUUUUUUUAUGAUUUCAUUCCUGUUUUCGUUAAUAUUGUAAUAAAAAUAUGACAAAUAUAUUGACUGUACACUUCAAAUAGUACUGUACCGACACAAGCCUGCUACGAUUUUAUUAUUAGUAAGCACUAGAGACACAGAAACGUACGGUAGAUAUGUAAGAAAAUGUAUAAAAAUAUUCACAUGUAAAUUGCUGUUUUAUUGAAACAAUAAUAAUACAAUUUGCUUUGUAUGUGAUCCGUAAUCCGUAAAGAUCGAAGGUAUUGAAUAUGAAUAAAAAAUUUUAAAUACUUA